CGGCCAGACUCCUACGGGAGGCAGCAGUGGGGAAUAUUGCACAAUGGGGGAAACCCUGAUGCAGCGACGCCGCGUGAGCGAUGAAGUAUUUCGGUAUGUAAAGCUCUAUCAGCAGGGAAGAAGAUGACGGUACCUGACUAAGAAGCCCCGGCUAACUACGUGCCAGCAGCCGCGGUAAUACGUAGGUGGCAAGCGUUAUCCGGAUUUACUGGGUGUAAAGGGCGUGUAGGCGGGAAAGCAAGUCAGAUGUGAAGACCAUGGGCUCAACCUGUGGCCUGCAUUUGAAACUGUUUUUCUUGAGUACUGGAGAGGCAGGCGGAAUUCCUAGUGUAGCGGUGAAAUGCGUAGAUAUUAGGAGGAACACCAGUGGCGAAGGCGGUCUGCUGGACAGCAACUGACGCUGAGGCGCGAAAGCGUGGGGAGCAAACAGGAUUAGAUACCCCAGUAAU
rnacentral:rRNA from 1 species